rnacentral:misc_RNA from 1 species
UUGACAAUUGGCUAUGGAUUUGGUGAGCAUUCUUGCAUCAUUUUGUUUAUCUUAUCGGAUCACAUUUCUUUUAGAAGAUUUCUCUUUAACUGCAAGAUUAGAGUAUCUGGCAUGUUUUGCUUCUGCAUCUAUCGCAUGGCCAGAAUAAGAGAUUCAUUUUACAAUCUAAAGUGAAAGCUAACGGUAUGCCAACAAAGGCAUUUUGGUUAAAGGAUAACGUUCUUGAUGUCGUUUUAUUUAUUUUUUUUAUUUUUAUUAUUUUCUAAGAAAAUUUUGGGUUUAUUAAAUUUUUGCUAAUUUUUUAGAUGUUCCCAAAUAUUUGAUGAGCACAAGCUUAACAAAAACAUGAAUGCAAUUAAAUGUAAUCUUAGUAUAACUGUACAUGAUAUUGGAUUGUCAGUAUACUACCAUUGCUAUUCAUUUAAUCAAAAUUGUGCAACUAAGCCAAUAGCCUCAUAAUCGUAACAAAAUGCAGAACCUCUGUGCAGAGAGAGACAUCACAACAUCAAACCCAGGACCUAUGUCAAACUCACUUAGUUACUGGGACUAACCUAAUCGAAGAAAAUGAAAUGCAAAACUCUUGUAAUAUAG